rnacentral:rRNA from 1 species
AUUGAACGCUGGCGGCAUGCUUUACACAUGCAAGUCGAACGGUAACAGGCCGCAAGGUGCUGACGAGUGGCGAACGGGUGAGUAAUGCAUCGGAACGUGCCCAGUCGUGGGGGAUAACGCAGCGAAAGCUGUGCUAAUACCGCAUACGAUCUAUGGAUGAAAGCGGGGGACCGCAAGGCCUCGCGCGAUUGGAGCGGGCGAUGUCAGAUUAGGUAGGUGGUGGGGUAAAGGCCCACCAAGCCAACGAUCUGUAGCUGGUCUGAGAGGACGACCAGCCACACUGGACUGAGACACGGCCCAGACUCCUACGGGAGGCAGCAGUGGGGAAUUUUGGACAAUGGGCGCAAGCCUGAUCCAGCAAUGCCGCGUGCAGGAAGAAGGCCUUCGGGUUGUAAACUGCUUUUGUACGGAACGAAACGGUCUGGGUUAAUACCUCGGGCUAAUGACGGUACCGUAAGAAUAAGCACCGGCUAACUACGUGCCAGCCGCCGCCGUAAUAC